GUGAGAAGAUCAGCGUCUUCUCAUGCCCACAGCACGAGUCAUUCCUCGCUCGUGUCACAGGGAUAGGGUGGCAUCCUGGCGCUCGGCUCCGGGGCAUCCUUACCUGACGCUGGGGCCGUAGCAGGCGCAGAAGCUCCCGGCGUCCGUACAUCAACCCCAGCGCCAUCUUAGCAGGAAGAGGACUUACGUUCGCGUCUGCGCACUCAGAACCGCAGCCUCGCGGGAGGAGGCCCUUUUGGAAAUGGGCAUGAAGCCAGGGCUGUCGCCACGCUCAGGAGGUAAAGGAGACUGGAGCUUGACGACCAUAUUUGAAGUGGGCUGCGCCAGGUCUUAGUUACGGCAUGCGGGACCUUUGUUGCAGCAUGUGGACGUCUUAGAUGUGGCACAUGGAUAUCUUAGUUGCAGCAUGCAUGCAGGAUCUAGUUCCCCAACCAGGGAUCAAAUUUGGGCCCCCUGCAUUGGGAGUGUGGAGUCUUACCCCCUGGACCACCAGAAAUUGGCAGAAUGGUAAAGCGUCUAGGAGGAGAUUGGUGAUGCCGUCUAAGGGAAGACCAGGGGAGUCUGUCCCUCCCUUCUGAAGCUCCGAGAGUGUCUGGAGGGAGAGCAGCUCAAUCAACCGAGUCGCAGAUCUCCUCCACCACUGCGUUGAAGAUGUGUGGCUGGUCCGCGUACACGUGGUGUGAGGCGCCCUCGAUCUCCUGUGGAUGGAGGACCCCACCAGGGGCGGGACAGCCCUUUAUUCAAGGCACUGGAAAGCUAUUGCACCAUUUCUUUUUCCCUUAAGCCUGCUUGCCCGUCGCCCAUGAGCACUUACUUUAUCUAAGACAACAGUCCACCUUUCUCCCCAGAUCUUGGCACUUCCCUGUGGGAGUCAGUGAAUCCCAAUAUCCCAUCCUUACUUCUCCCAUGGCGCCUGAUUUUAUCUUUCCUUCCAUGCCAGCCCCUCCAGCGACCUGCUCAUGUCAGCGACCUGCUCAUGUCAUCCACAUGUCCACUAAAGCAGGGUCCAUCAGGCACCAGCCUAAUUAAGCAUACUCAUUAGCAAAUGAGGGGGGGGGGCGGAGGAGUGUUGUGGGAAGGCUUCAUGGCAGCCUCUACAGUUCCCAGCUCUGGUUUGGGGUGGGAAUUACAGGGGGUGGAGGGACAGCGUGGUGCCUGUGCCUGGCUACUGGACAAGAAUCUGCCUUUCAGAUGAACUGAGCUACACAGAAGUGAGAAGCCCCUAAUUAUGAUUUUACAGAGAGCCAACCCUUUCAAAUCCACUACCAUAGCUCAACCUGUCCACUCCUCUUUCCCCCCGACUCUCCCAUCACCCUUCGCUACCCUGACUCAGCUACUCUGGGUCAGUCAACACGUGCUGGGAUGUUGCAGUGUUUCCACCUCAAUCCUGCUCCUCCAGUGGCCAACGUACCAUGUCUCGGACGUAGGAAUCCGGCCGCUGCAGCUUCACCUUUUUUCCCGUGCUGGUGUCUAUCCAGGUGUUGGCCCCGUAGAUCAUGGUGAUGGGCAUUUCUUUUUGAAUCAAAUGAAUUCGCUCUAACAUGGGUCGCCGGGCCCAGCCGAAGGACUCCAUCAUGGUUUUGAAUGCCGUCUCCCCGCUGAAGAAGCAAAACAGGGUGAGGCAAUGAAUAAACGCCACAGCCUAAAAUGUCAGUUUGUUGAUCUCAGAGGCUGGGGAAGUAUCUUUGUCAUUCUUUUUGGUCCUCUCAGAGCCCAGCGCUGGGCUCAUUAAAUAUUAGGAAGAUUAGGAGACAGGACUGAAUCUCCAGAGGCUCCUAUCACAGAUGAGUUAGGAGGGACACACUUGUGGAAACCCCAUGGCACUGAGAAUUAUCCAAGAGCCUAAUAGGUUACUAUUUAUUCAACAAAUAUUUAUGUGGCAUCCUGGAGCUGAGGGUGGGGACAUAUGAACAAGACAGACGCAGUGCCUGCCCUCCUGGAGCUCACAUUAUCUUCAUACUUUAGGCAUAAAUAAUGAAUUAUAUGAUUAACUUAACUUCAAAUUUCCCAAGAAUUAUGAAAGGGUGGCAGAGCUCUAGGAGAACACAGACUAGGGACUUGGCUUCCUGGGGCUGAAGGAGAGGGUCAGGGGGUUCACUUGGGGAGGGCUCUGAUGAGCAAGUACUACAGAAGCACAAAGGGCUUGCUGAAGAGAAUGGAAUGAAACGUCAGUCUUGUGAGGACCUGGGGGGAGCAGCAGUUUGUGCGACUUGAGAAGCAAUGACGGCCAAUCUAAUCUCCUUUGCUCCCUGGCCAUUUCCUUAGGGAGAGCUAACCGAGGCUGUGUCACGAGGGGUCUGCAAGGCUGGGGCAGAAGCCAGCUGUCCAGGUUGCUCUCCUGGGAAGCAGGAGAGGUUGGGGACACCGCCACCCAGCAGGCUCAGCCUGUUUGGGAAUUAUAUCCCCAGUCUCCUUUGCACCCCUGAGAUGAAAGAGAGCCUGGGUUCUGCACAGGCCACCAGAAACAGGGCUCCUCCUUAAGGCAGUGCAGCAUAGUGGAAAAAUCAUGGACUCUGGAGUCAGAGAGGCAUAAGUUCAAAUCCUGGCUGUAGUUUCUAAGCAAGUCAUGUAAACAAGAAUACACCUUAAUUUUCUCAUUUACAAGCUGGGAGGAGUUAUACCCACUUUAUUAGGUCAUUGUGAAGAAAAUGAAAAUAUGUACAAAGCCCCUAAAUCUAGGUGAAGCAAAGUAGGUACCCCAUCCCCCAAAUAUUCUUCUUUGGCCAAAUCGUGUGUUUUCCAAGGGAAUAGUAAGAGUUACCAUGAGCUCAUGAGGGUUACAACUCAGGAAGACUCGGGGGCUUAUAAAAUUGAGUGAUGGUGUUUGGGGGGAGGGGCUGGUUAUCACCGAUGUCAUCUCUGCUUCUUCUAGGACCUGAAUGAGGUGUGUGAUUAUGUACUCUGUGGCUUAGAUUGGGAGGCCAUUCAUUAUAUGGAACUAGGUCUGGGACUGGGGAAUGCUCUGAGGAAAGGGCUAGGGGUGGGCCUGCAGGGUCUCAGAGGGUAUGAGACUGGCACUGAGCCCAGUGGGGGCUGAGAGGAGUCGAGAGCAGGAAGCAGUGGGCUUCCUGAUUUGACUGUUGAGCUGAGUUUCUAUACUGCUGCUUAAGCAGGGCCCUUCACUCAGCUGGGCUCCUGAGGAAUGUUGGAUGAACAGUUCCCACGCUGCCUGAAAGCUGUCUGGGUUUGACGCUAAUGCCCAGACAGCACUGCUGGAAUGCAAAACCCCAGUUGCUUCACAGCUUUCGGCUGAACAGUCCUGAAAUGAGGCAUGGCAGUGCUGCUGCUCCCAAUGACCUUGGCUCCCCCGAGAUGCCUCCCAGUAGUGUGGGGUGAGGCCUCCACAGAGGUGGUGCCUCAUGGUAUCAGCCACUCACAUUGCACUGCCUGAGGGGAAGACUACCUCCCUGACUCUGCCCUGGAUGGCAGUUGUCAAGACUGUAGAUCAGCAGGCUUCUGGGGCCUAUGUCUGAGUUGUCAUAGAUAUAAACUUCUAGAGAUUCUGCGGACAUCCCCAAAUCCCCCAAAGAUAGGGAAGGCAUUCCUAUCCCAACAGUAAGUAUUUCAAGGUGCACAUAAUUAAAUUUUUAAAUGCAUAAUCUAUCCAUCAGCAGUUCUAUUUGUAGGAAUGUAGUCUAGAGAUAGUCACAUGUGAGCAAAGGAAGAUACAUAAGGAGGUUCCCUGAAGCAAUGUCACAUGAUAUCUCAGACCUAAACUAACAAGAAGAUUCAGGAAUUACAGGCCUGGGACAGGAGAAGACUUUCUUUCUUUUUUUUUUUUUCUUUAUAAAAAUACCAUGUUCAGAGAAGGAAAAAGAACUACAAUCCUACAGCCUGUGGAACAAAAACCACAUUCACAGAAAGAUAGACAAGAUGAAAAGGCAGAGGGCUAUGUACCAGAUGAAGGAACAAGAUACAACCCCAAAAAAACAACUAAAUGAAGUGGAGAUAGGCAACCUUCCAGAAAAAGAAUUCAGAAUAAUGAUAGUGAAGAUGAUCCAGGACCUCGGAAAAAGAAUGGAGGCAAAGAUGGAGACAAUGCAAGAAAUGUUUAACAAAGACUUAGAAGAAUUAAAGAGCAAACAAACAGAUGAACAAUACAAUAACUGAAAUGAAAACUACACUGGAAGGAAUCAAUAGCAGAAUAACUGAGGCAGAAGAACGGAUAAGUGACCUGGAAGACAGAAUGGUGGAAUUCACUGCUGCGGAACAGAAUAAAGAAAAAAGAAUGAAAAGAAAUGAAGACAACCUAAGAGACCUCUGGGACAACAUUAAACGCAACAACAUUCGCAUUAUAGGGGUCCCAGAAGGAGAAGAAAGAGAGAAAGGACCCGAGAAAAUAUUUGAAGAGAUUAUAGUCGCAAACGUCCCUAACAGGGGAAAGGAGAUAGCCACCCAAGUCCAGGAAGCACAGAGUCCCAUACAAGAUAAACCCAAGGAGAAACACGUCGAGACAUGUAGUAAUCAAAUCAGCAAAAAUUAAAGACAAAGAAAAAUUAUUGAAAACAGCAAGGGAAAAAUGACAAAUAACAUACAAGGGAACUACCAUAAGGUUAACAGCUGAUUUCUCAGCAGAAACUCUACAAGCCAGAAGGGAGUGGCAUGAUAUACUUAAAGUGAUGAAAGGGAAGAACCUACAACCAAGAUUACUCUACCCGGCAAGGAUCUCAUUCAGAUUCAACAGAGAAAUCGAAAGCUUUACAGGCAAGCAAAAGCUAAAAGAAUUCAGCACCACCAAACCAGCUCUACAACAAAUGCUAAAGGAACUUCUCCAAGUGGGAAACACAAGAGAAGAAAAGGACCUACAAACACAAAUGCAAAACAACUAAGAAAAUGGUCAUAGGAACAUACAUAUCGAUAAUUACCUUAAACAUGAAUGGAUUAAAUGCUCCAACCAAAAGACACAGGCUUGCUGAAUGGAUACAAAAACAAGACCCAUACAUAUGCUGUCUACAAGAGACCCACUUCAGACCUAGGGACAUAUACAGACUGAAAAUGAGGGAGAUGGAAAAAGAUAUUCCAUGCAAAUAGAAAUCAAAAGAAAGCUGGAAUAGCAAUACUCAUAUCAGAUAAAAUAGACUUUAAAAUAAAGAAUGCUACAAGAGACAAGGAAGGACACUACAUAAUGAUCAAGGGAUCAAUCCAAGAAGAAGAUAUAACAAUUAUAAAUAUAUAUGCACCCAACAUAGGAGCACCUCAAUACAUAAGGCAACAGCUGUAAAAGAGGAAAUCGACAGUAACACAAUAAUAGUGGGGGACUUUAUCACCUCACUUACAUCAAUGGACAGAUCAUCCAAAAUGAAAAUAAAUAAGGAAAAACAAGCUUUAAACAACACAAUAGACCAGAUAGAUUUAAUUGAUAUUUAUAGGACAUUCCAUCCAAAAACAGCAGAUUACACUUUCUUCUCAAGUGUGCACAGAACAUUCUCCAGGAUAGAUCACAUCUUGGGUCACAAAUCAAGCCUCAGUAAGUUUAAGAAAUUGAAAUCAUAUCAAGCAUCUUUUCUGACCACAAUGCUAUGAGAUUAGAAAUGAAUUACAGGGGAAAAAACGUAAAAAACACAAACACAUGGAGGCUAAACACUAUUUUACUAAAUAAUCAAGAGAUCACUGAAGAAAUCAGAGAGGAAGUCAAAAAAUACCUAGAGACAAAUGACAAUGAAAACAUGACAAUCCAAAACCUAUGGGAUGCAGCAAAAACAGUUCUAAGAGGGAAGUUUAUAGCUAUACAAGCCUACCUCAAGAAACAAGAAAAAUCUCAAAUAAACAAUCUAACCUUACACCUAAAGGAACUAGAGGAAGAAGAACAAACAAAACCCAAAGUUAGCAGAAGGAAAGAAAUCAUAAAGAUCAGAGCAGAAAUAAAUGAAAUAGAAACAAAGAAAACAAUAGCAAAGAUCAAUAAAACUAAAAGCUGGUUCUUUGAGAAGAUAAACAAAAUUGAUAAACCAUUAGCAAGAUUCAUCAAGAAAAAGAGGGAGGGCUUCCCUGGUGGCGCAGUGGUUGAGAGUCUGCCUGCCAAUGCAGGGGACACGGGUUUGUGCCCCAGUCCAGCAGGAUCCCACAUGCCGCAGAGCAGCUGGGCCUGUGAGCCGUGGCCGCUGGGCCUGUGCGUCCGGAGCCUGUGCUCCGCAACGGGAGAGACCACAACAGUGAGAGGCCUGCGUACCACAAAAACAAAAACAAAAACCAAACAAAACUAAAAAAGAAAAAGAGGGAAAGAACUCAAAUCAAUAAAAUUAGAAAUGAAAAAGGAGAAGUAACAACAGACACUGCAGAAAUACAAAGCAUCCUAAGAGACUACUACCAGCAACUCUAUGCCAAUGAAAUGGACAACCUGGAAGAAAUGGACAAAUUCUUAGAAAGGUAUAACCUUUCAAGGCUGAACCAGGAAGAAAUAAAAAAUAUGAACAGACCAAUCACAAGUAAUGAAAUUGAAACUGUGAUUAGAAAUCUUCCAACAAACAAAAGUCCAGGACCAGAUGGCUUCACAGAUGAAUUCUAUCAAACAUUUAGAGAAGAGCUAACACCUAUCCUUCUCAAACUCUUCCAAAAAAUUGCGGAGGAAGGAACACUCCCAAACUCAUUCUAUGAGGCCACCAUCACCCUGAUACCAAAACCAGACAAAGGUACUACAAAAAAAGAAAAUUACAGACCAAUAUCACUGAUGAAUAUAGAUGCAAAAAUCCUCAACAAAAUACUAGCAAACAGAAUCCAACAACACAUUACAUACACCAUGAUCAAGUGGGAUUUAUCCCAGGAAUGCAAGGAUUCUUCAAUAUAUGCAAAUCAAUCAAUAUGAUACACCAUAUUAACAAACUGAAGAAUAAAAACCAUAUGAUCAUCUCAAUAGAUGCAGAAAAAGCUUUUGACAAAAUUCAACACCCAUUUAUGAUAAAAACUACAGAAAGUGGGCAUAGAGGGAACCUACCUCAACAUAAUAAAGGCCGUAUAUGACAAACCCACAGCAAACAUCAUUCUCAAUGGUGAAAACCUGAAAGCAUUUCCUCUAAGAUCAGGAACAAGACAAGGAUGUCCUCUCUCACCGCUAUUAUUCAAUGUAGUUUUGGAAGUCCUAGCCAUGGCAAUCAGAGAAGAAAAAGAAAUCAAAGGAAUACAAACUGGAAAAGAAGAAGUAAAACAGUCACUGUUUGCAGAUGACAUGAUACUAUACAUAGAGAAUUCUAAAGCUGCCACCAGAAAACUACUAGAGCUAAUUAUUGAAUUUGGUAAAGUUGCAGGAUACAAAAUUAAUGCACAGAAAUCUCUUGCAUUCCUAUACACUAAUGAUGAAAAAUCUGAAAGAGAAAUUAAGGAAACACUCCCAUUUACCACUGCAACAAAAAGAAUAAAAUACCUAGGAAUAAACCUAGGGAGACAAAAGACCUGUAUGCAGAAAACUAUAAGACACUGAUGAAAGAAAUUAAAGAUGAUACCAACAGAUGGAGAGAUAUACCAUGUUCUUGGAUUGGAAGAAUCAAUAUUGUGAAAAUGACUAUACUACCCAAAGCAAUCUACAGAUUCAAUGCAAUCCCUAUCAAAUUACCAAUGGCAUUUUUUAUGAACUAGAACAAAAAAUCUUAAAAUUUGUAUGGAGACACAAAAGACUCUGAAUAGCCAAAGCAGUCUUGAGGGAAGAAAAUGGAGCUGGAGGAAUCAGACUCCCUGACUUCAGACUACACUACAAAGCUACAGUAAUGAAGACAAUAUGGUACUGGCACAAAAACAGAAACAUAGAUCAAUGGAACAAGAUAGAAAGCUCAGAGGUAAACCCACGCACCUAUGGUCAACUAAUCUAUGACAAAAGAGGCAAGGAUAUACAAUGGAGAAAACACAGUCUUUUCAACGAGUGGUGCUGGGAAAACUGGACAGCUACAUGUAAAAGAAUGAAAUUAGAACACUCCCUAACACCAUACACAAAAAUAAACUCAAAAUGGAUUAGAGACCUAAAUGUAAGACUGGACACUAUAAAACUCUUAGAGGAAAACAUAGGAAGAACACUCCUUGACAUAAAUCACAGCAAGAUCUUUUUUGAUCCACCUCCUAGAGUAAUGGAAAUGAAAACAAAAAUAAACAAAUGGGACCUAAUGAAACUUAAAAGCUUUUGCACAGCAAAGGAAACCAUAAACAAGACAAAAAGACAACCCUCAGAAUGGGAGAAAAUAUUUGCAAAUGAAUCAAUGGACAAAGGAUUAAUCUCCAAAAUAUAUAAACAGCUCAUGUGCUCAAUAUUAAAAAAAAAACCCAAUCCAAAAAUGAGAAGAAGACCUAGAUAGACAUUUCUCCAAAGAAGACAUACAGAUGGCCAAGAAGCACAUGAAAAGCUGCUCAACAUCACUAAUUAUUAGAGAAAUGCAAAUCAAAACUACAAUGAGGUAUCACCUCACACCAGUUAGAAUGGGCUUCAUCAGAAAAUCUACAAACAACAAAUGUUGGAAAGGGUGUGGAGAAAAGGGAACCCUCUUGCACUUGGAAUGUAAACUGAUACAGCCACUAUGGAGAACAGUAUGGAGGUUCCUUAAAAAACUAAAAAUAGAAUUACCAUAUGAUCCAGCAAUCCCACUACUGGGCAUAUACCCAAAGAAAACCAUAAAUCAAAAACACAUGCAUCCCACUGUUCAUUGCAGCACUAUUUACAAUAGCCAGGUCAUGGAAGCAACCUAAAUGCCCAUCGACAGACGAAUGGAUAAAGAAGUUGUGAUACAUAUAUACAAUGGAAUAUUACUCAGCCAUAAAAAGGAACGAAAUUGGAUCAUUUGUUGAGAUGUGGAUGGAUCCAGAAACUGUCAUACAGAGUGAAGUAAGUCAGAAAGAGAAAAACGAAUAUCGUGUAUUAACACGUAUAUGUGGAACCUAGAAAAACAGUACAGAUGAACUGGUUUGCAGGGCAGAAAUAGAGACACAGACGUAGAGAAGAAACCUAUGGACA